GAUGAACGCUGGCGGCGUGCCUAAUACAUGCAAGUCGAGCGAACGGACGAGAAGCUUGCUUCUCUGAUGUUAGCGGCGGACGGGUGAGUAACACGUGGAUAACCUACCUAUCAGACUGGGAUAACUUCGGGAAACCGGAGCUUAUACCGGAUAAUAUUUUGAACCGCAUGGGUCAAAAGUGAAAGACGGUCUUGCGGUCACGUAUAGAUGGAUUUGAGCUGCAUUAGCUAGUUGGUAAGUUCAAGGGUUACCACGGCAACGAUGCAUAGCCGACCUGAGAGGGGGAUCGGCCACACUGGAACUGAGACACGGUCCUGACUCCUACGGGAGGCAGCAGUAGGGAAUCUUCCGCAAUGGGCGAAAGCCUGACGGAGCAACGCGGCGUGAGUGAUGACGGUCUUCGGAUCGUAAAACUCUGUUAUUAGGUAAGAACAGAUGUGUAAGUAACUGUGGACAGCGUGACGGUACCUAAUCAGAAAGCCACGGCUAACUACGUG
rnacentral:rRNA from 1 species